GUUUCAUUGUGAAUUUUGCCAAAUGCUUUUUCUGCAUCAUAUUGAUCAUGUUGAUGUGAUGGGUGACAUUCACUGAUUUUCUGUUGUUGAACCAGCCUUGCUUACCUGGGAUAAGCUCCACUUUGUCAUGGCCACAUGAGGACUCUCAAGCUCCUCAACCAGGGAUUGAAACCGCGCCCCUGCAGUAGAAGCUCGGAGUCUUCAUCAGUGUAUGGCCAGGGAAGCCCCCCCAUCACUGGAUUGAAGGCCCAUGAGACGCGGGUUCAAUUCCUGGGCUUGGAAGAUCCCCUGGAUGAGGGCAUGGCAAUC